rnacentral:rRNA from 1 species
AGCAGCCGCGGUAAUUCCAGCUCCAAUAGCGUAUAUUAAAGUUGUUGCAGUUAAAAAGCUCGUAGUUGAAUUUCGAGAUCAAAUUGUUGGUCGUGCCUUGGUACGUACUGGCAUUAUUGGUUUCUCCCUUCUGAAGAACCAUGAUGUCAUUAAUUUGGCGUCAUGGGGAAUCAGGACUGUUACUUUGAAAAAUUAGAGUGUUUAAAGCAGGCUCGCGCUUGAAUACAUUAGCAUGGAAUAAUGAAAUAGGACGUUUAAUUCUAUUUUGUUGGUUUCUAGGAUUGACGUAAUGAUUAAUAGGGAUAGUUGGGGGCAUUAGUAUUCAAUUGUCAGAGGUGAAAUUCUUGGAUUUAUUGAAGACUAACUACUGCGAAAGCAUUUGCCAAGGAUGUUUUCAUUAAUCAAGAACGAAAGUUAGGGGAUCGAAGACGAUCAGAUACCGUCGUAGUC